CGUGUAGGCGGUUUUAUAAGUCUGAUGUGAAAGCCCUGGGCUCAACCUGGGAAGUGCAUUGGAUACUGUAAGACUUGAAUACGGGAGAGGGCAGUGGAAUUCCUGGUGUAGGAGUGAAAUCCGAAGAUAUCAGGAGGAACACCGGUGGCGAAGGCGGCUGCCUGGACCGAUAUUGACGCUGAGACGCGAAAGCGUGGGUAGCAAACA
rnacentral:rRNA from 1 species